ensembl:lncRNA
UUUUCUGAAAGCUGGAGUCACUUUAUUAAUACAGCAGGUCCUUGACGUCGAGCCUUUAUGUACACGGGUAAUAACAUACACGGGGAAGGUCACUAUGAAAAGGCGAAGGUUCGCAAUGUUGUAUGGAAUCAUUCUUCUAUAAAAGUCCGGCUCAGAUGCCAAAGGCAUUACAAAAAAAACAAAACAAAAAAUAAUUUAAAAAUAGAAAAGUCUCCACGCUUGUUUAAAUGCACUGAUUUUUUUCUUUUCUUUUUUUUACGUACAAUAUUUCACAAUUUUCAAAUAAGUACUUUGGGAGCAUUUAGAGCAGCGUGCAUGCACUUCUGUUUGUUUGUUUGUUUGUUUUGAACUAAGCUGCAUGUAGGACACAGUUCCACUCAGUUAGCAUGAAGACAGACGGUACAGAUAAAGCAGAGAAACACUGAACUCUCCGCAGCAAGGAAACAUACUGUACAAGGUAAUAUAUUAAUGUGUUCAAAUUCACCACUGGGACUCGUCACACUGGUCACACGGGCUGUGUUUACACGCAGAGACGUGUCCGGACUCACGUCGAUCUCAGACGCCGAAAUAUUUAUUUAUUUAUUAUAUUUACCCGAAAUUUACUAGUAAUCCGAAUCACCUCUGUGGACAGAAGGAUAGAUCUUGUUUAUUUAGGUAAGAAAGCCAGUUUUGCAUCAUUCUUGCGUCCUAAUUGUUUAAAAUCUUAUAUAUAUAUGUAUAUAAGCAAUAGUUUAUAUUUUUAAAAAAUCUCAGUUUCCGAACACUACCGUACGCGUGAAAGUUCGCUUAAGAGUCUGAUACGAUCGAUCUGGUUCAACCGGAUAGAAAUCUCGUUUCUGUGACAUUCUCGUUGUAAAAUAAAUCGAUUUAAAACGUUUGCUGGUUUGAUCUGUAACGCGCUCUAUUAAAACGGACGUAUUUCGACGUACGUCUACGGCCGGAAGUGACAGUCAUAAUCUAUCGAGCCCUAUUCGGUUUAGGCGAAGUAAAUAAAUAAAUAAAUAGAUAGAUAGAAAGAAGUAAAUAAAUAAAAUAAACAAAAACGUGGAAGCGAACACAGCUUUGUGUUGUUUAUUUGUGCGUAUUGAUUUUUGGUCUUUGAUUUACAUUAAACACAGUACGGUGAGGUCCAGAAUCUGGCAACGCGCGUGAAACCGCAUCUGUUUAGCGUUCCUUUUCCGAUUUAUAACGGUAUUUUUCAUUACAAACGAUAUUACCGGCAACGUCUGGAGGGAAGUCUUACAGAAGUAUUUACACGCACUUGGGAAUUUCGUAGUGUACUCAGUGGUACAUCCUCCUUUUCGGCUUUAACGACAGACGCGGACGUGGACGCGGACGAUCCGUGGAAGGGGCGUGUCGUCUGAACACGUGCGCCAACAGAAAGGGGAAACCGUA